CUUGCUGUUGGGGUUUACUUUUUGCCCUUUAGCAGUGAACCAUGCUUUACUUACUGCCUGAGCCUACAAAGAAGCUUGAAGAAUGAGUUUUACAGGUCCAGCGCUCUCUGCCCACUAGGGAUCUCCCUAUCCUUAGGUGGGGUGUUAAAUGCUUCUCUAUUGGUUUGCUGGCUGGACCUGCAUGCUGCUUUCCCACUGCAUCCCUCUUGUUUGGGAAGAAUCUGUGUUGCAAGCCCUUCCUUUAGUCUUCGACUAUUCAGCUCUUCAUCCCUAUGGACCAUAUGACUGGGUCCAGCCUGCGGUGCCCACAAUGCCCCAGGCUUCUGAGCACCGCCUGGGCCGGACUCGAGAGCCACCUGUCAAUGUACAGCCCCGAGUGGGAGCCAAGAUACCGUUUCCUCCCCGGGCCCGCAGCAAGGAGCGCCGAAACCCAGUUCCUGGGCCAAACUCCAUGUUACGACCUUUGCCUCCCAGGCCAGGUCCCCCAGAUGAAAGGCUCAAGAAACUGGAUUUGGGUCGGGGUCGGACCUCAGGCUCUCGUCCUAGAGGUCCCCUUCGAGCAGAUCAUGGGGUUCCCUUGCCUGGCUCACCACCCCCAACUGUGGCUCUGCCUCUCCCAUCCCGGACCAACCUAACCCGAUCCAAGUCUGUGAGCAGUGGGGACUUGCGUCCAAUGGGGAUUGCCUUGGGAGGGCACCGUGGCACUGGCGAGCUAGGGGCUGCACUGAGCCGCCUGGCACUCCGGCCUGAGCCACCCACUUUGAGACGUAGUACUUCUCUCCGGCGUCUUGGGGGUUUCCCUGGACCCCCUACCCUGCUCAGCAUACGGACAGAGCCCCCUCCUUCCCAUGGCUCCUUCCACAUGAUAUCUGCCCGGCCUUCUGAGCCUUUCUACUCUGAUGACAAGAUGGCUCACCACACACUGCUUCUGGGCUCUGGUCAUGUUGGCCUCCGAAAUCUAGGAAAUACAUGCUUCCUGAACGCCGUGUUACAGUGUUUGAGCAGCACAAGGCCUCUUCGAGACUUUUGUCUGCGAAGGGACUUCCGGCAAGAGGUGCCCGGAGGAGGCCGAGCCCAGGAACUCACAGAAGCCUUUGCAGAUGUGAUUGGUGCCCUCUGGCACCCUGACUCCUGUGAAGCUGUGAAUCCUACCCGAUUCCGGGCUGUCUUCCAGAAAUACGUCCCUUCCUUCUCUGGAUACAGCCAGCAGGAUGCCCAAGAGUUCCUGAAGCUCCUUAUGGAGCGGUUGCACCUCGAAAUCAACCGACGAGGCCGCCGGGCACCACCAAUUCUGGCCAGUGGUCCAGUUCCCUCCCCACCUCGCCGAGGAGGGGCUCUGCAUGAAGAACCUGAACUGAGUGAUGAUGACCGAGCCAACUUAAUGUGGAAGCGCUACCUGGAGCGAGAAGACAGCAAGAUUGUGGACCUGUUUGUGGGCCAGCUGAAAAGUUGCCUCAAGUGCCAGGCCUGUGGGUAUCGCUCCACGACCUUCGAGGUUUUUUGUGACCUGUCCCUGCCCAUCCCCAAGAAAGGAUUUGCUGGGGGCAAAGUGUCUUUGCGGGAUUGCUUCAGCCUUUUCACCAAGGAGGAGGAGCUAGAGUCGGAGAAUGCCCCAGUAUGUGACCGAUGUCGGCAGAAAACACGAAGUACCAAAAAGUUGACAGUACAAAGAUUCCCCCGAAUCCUCGUGCUCCAUAUCCUACUUUUCAAGUUCUUAUUUCUCUUAGGGUAUCUCCCAUACAGUGUUUCCUCACCUUCAGUGAGUUUCCCGUAGGGAAAACCUGCCACCCCAACUUUCUCUGCCACUUUUCAGGACGUGUUGGGGGAAUGGAGGGUACCGAAUCUAUUUCCGCAGUCUCCCUUUUAGAGACCCUUAGCCUCCCCAAUGCUCCUUAACCAGGGCUUAGAUCUGAACCGAUUUUCCACCUCCCGAGGCUCCAUCAAGAAAAGUUCAGUAGGUGUAGACUUCCCACUGCAGCGACUAAGCCUAGGGGACUUUGCCAGCGACAAAGUGGGAAGCCCUGUCUACCAGCUGUAUGCCCUUUGCAACCACUCGGGUAGUGUCCACUAUGGCCACUACACAGCCCUGUGCCGGUGCCAGACUGGUUGGCAUGUCUACAAUGACUCCCGUGUCUCCCCUGUCAGUGAAAACCAGGUGGCAUCCAGUGAGGGCUACGUGCUGUUCUACCAAUUGAUGCAGGAACCACCUCGGUGCCUGUGACGCCAUCUUGAAGCCCUGGCACCUGUGAAAACCUUCUCAACACCCUUAAGCCCCCAGGCUCCCCACUUACCUCACAGACGUCUAUUUUUGUGUCUUUUUAAUCGGGGAGGGGAGGAGGGUUGGUUGUAGCUCCCGUUAUUUUUUUUAUUAAGAAGUACCCUUCCACCUUGUUUUCCUGUCCCAUGUACAGAAAUUACCAGGCCCUUGACCAUGUACAGCCCCCAGAACCUCUGCAAUCUCACUUUUUUGUGAAUAAAUUUAUUAAGAAAAAGUAAA